rnacentral:lncRNA from 1 species
UGCAGCCUCAGCUCUGGAAAGAGUCAGCACUUGUCAACACGACUUAUUUCUACACCCUCUGAAAGUCAAGCUAGCUUAGGAUGCGUCCUUUAAGCCUCAGGGGACUCCAUUACUGUCUUCCAGGCUGUGAGCCUUAAACAAAAAAAGAAGGAUGGCCCCCUCCGGGGUGCUGGAUGUCAAGGACCUGGUGCACGAUACAGACAGCCAGGGGACAGCUGCAGAGAUCAUUGCAUCAUUGAGGGCCAUGUCUGCUGUGGAUUUAGCAUAUGAAAUCUUAGGAAGGGAGGAUGCUUGAUUCAAAUUCUCUGCUCAAGCAAGUUCAGGAUGUGGGGUGUGGGGGCAUACCCAUAGGAGGAUUCUAUACUGCAGGGAAGACCCAUAGCCAUCCUGUGGGUCAGCAGUCCCACAGAGACUGUCCUCCAUACCCGAAGAAGCAACACUCAACAGUCAAUUUCAAGCACAAAUGAGGAUAAAUAUGUGGGUUCCUUUAA